AUCGCGUGAAGGAAGAAGUAUUAUGUAUCGUAAACUUUUUUGUAAGAGAGUAAAGUGCACUACGUGUAGUGUAUGCAAGUACUUACGAAUAAGCAUCGGCUAAUUCCGUGCCAGCAGCCGCGGUAAUACGGAAGAUGCAAGUGUUAUCCGGAUUUAUUGGGUUUAAAGGGUGCGUAGGUGGUCUAAUAAGUCAGUGGUGAAAUCUCUUUGCUUAACAAGGAAAUUGCCAUUGAAACUGUUAGACUUGAGAAUGGACGAGGUAGGCGGAAUUCGUAGUGUAGCGGUGAAAUGCAUAGAUAUUACGAAGAACUCCAAUAGUGUAGACUGCUUACCAGACCAUAUCUGACACUAAGGCACGAAAGUGUGGGUAUCAAACAGGAUUAGAUACCCUGGUAGUCCACACAGUAAACGAUGAAUACUAACUGUUUGCGAUAUACAGCAAGUGGUCGAGCGAAAGCGUUAAGUAUUCCACCUGGGAAGUAUGCCGGCAACGGUGAAACUCAAAGGAAUUGACGGGGGCCCGCACAAGCGGAGGAACAUGUGGUUUAAUUCGAUAAUACGCGAGGAACCUUACCCGGGCUCGAACGAUAUUUGAAUACAUCCGAAAAGAUGUAGCUAGCAAUAGCAAAUACCGAGGUGCUGCAUGGUUGUCGUCAGCUCGUGCCGUGAGGUGUCGACUUAAGUGUCAUAACGAGCGCAACCCUUACCGAUAGUUACCAUCAGAUAAUGCUGGGGACUCUAUUGGGACUGCCACCGUAAGGUGUGAGGAAGGAGAGGAUGACGUCAAAUCAGCACGGCCCUUAUGUCCGGGGCGACACACGUGUUACAAUGGGAGAAACAAAGGGUCGCUACCUGGCAACAGGAUGCUAAUCUCGAAAAUCUCUCUCAGUUCGGAUUGGAGUCUGCAACUCGACUCCAUGAAGCUGGAUUCGCUAGUAAUCGCACAUCAGCCAUGGUGCGGUGAAUACGUUCCCGGGCCUUGUACACACCGCCCGUCAAGCCAUGGAAGCUGGAAGUACCUGAAGUAUGUAACUGAAAAGAGCGUCCUAAGUAUCAGNC
rnacentral:rRNA from 1 species